rnacentral:misc_RNA from 1 species
GAUGAAGAACGCAGCGAAAUGCGAUAAGUAAUGUGAAUUGCAGAAUUCAGUGAAUCAUCGAAUCUUUGAACGCACAUUGCGCCCCUUGGUAUUCCGAGGGGCAUGCCUGUUCGAGCGUCAUUAUAACCCCUCAAGCUCAGCUUGGUGUUGGGGCCUGCUGCACUGGCAGCCCUUAAAAUCAGUGGCGGCGCCAUCUGGCUCUAAGCGUAGUAAUUCUUCUCGCUAUGGAGUCCUGGUGGAUGCUUGCCAUCAACCCCAAAUUUUUCUAUGGUUGACCUCGGAUCAGGUAGGGAUACCCGCUGAUCUUAAGCAUAUCAAUAAGCGGAGGA